AACAUAUUGUGAUGUAUGUAGUGGUUGCAACUUGUAGAAUCAUAUUGUACAAGUUGCAUUUUCUUUUGCUAAGGAAAAGGAAAUUUAUUCUUCAGAUUACUACAUAAAAAAAAACGGGUGAGCUACAAAAUACACACAAUUUACAUCACUAACUAUGAUCAUAGCAUGGGGAUGGAAUGGAAACAAUAAAAUAAUCGGGACGAGCGAUUUUUUUAGAAUAUGCAAGCCUGAGUCAAAAAAAGACUACGGAGUCUUUGUAAGUAGUUUGGGCUGAUACGAAGUUACUUUGGAUCUCUUUUGCUUAUGGAACAAUUUUUUCUCAGAUGACAUAGUGAAGUCAUCAGAAUUAAAAUACUUAUUAUAAUUAGUUCCUCCACAGACAAACAAUGCAUCUCUUGCUACAAUUCCAGCUCUGCCUCUAGCAGCCGCACUAUGGUAAAAGUUUCUGG
rnacentral:lncRNA from 1 species